rnacentral:tRNA from 5 species
AAAAAAGCCGGAAUAGCUC